rnacentral:rRNA from 1 species
UACGGAGGGUGCUAGCGUUGUUCGGAAUCACUGGGCGUAAAGGGCGCGUAGGCGGCCCGCACAAGUCUGCGGUGAAAACCUCCGGCUUAACCGGGGGCCGGCCGUGGAAACUGUCGGGCUGGAGGCUGGGAGAGGGCAGCGGAAUUCCCGGUGUAGCGGUGAAAUGCGUAGAGAUCGGGAGGAACACCGGCGGCGAAGGCGGCUGCCUGGACCAGUCCUGACGCUGAGGCGCGAAAGCUAGGGGAGCAAACAGG